GUUAGGAAUAUUGGACAAUGGGCGCAAGCCUGAUCCAGCCAUUCCGCGUGCAGGAUGAAGGCCUUCGGGUUGUAAACUGCUUUUGUACGGAACGAAAAGCCUCUGGUUAAUACCCGGGGGUCAUGACGGUACCGUAAGAAUAAGCACCGGCUAACUACGUGCCAGCAGCCGCGGUAAUACGUAGGGUGCGAGCGUUAAUCGGAAUUACUGGGCGUAAAGCGUGCGCAGGCGGUGAUGUAAGACAGUUGUGAAAUCCCCGGGCUCAACCUGGGAACUGCAUCUGUGACUGCAUUGCUGGAGUGCGGCAGAGGGGGAUGGAAUUCCGCGUGUAGCAGUGAAAUGCGUAGAUAUGCGGAGGAACACCGAUGGCGAAGGCAAUCCCCUGGGCCUGCACUGACGCUCAUGCACGAAAGCGUGGGGAGCAAACAGGAUUAGAAACCCGUGUAGUCC
rnacentral:rRNA from 1 species